rnacentral:rRNA from 1 species
AGCAGCAGCCGCGGGAACACGGAGGGUGCAAGCGUUAAUCGGAAUUACUGGGCGUAAAGGGCGCGUAGGCGGAUUGUUUAGUUAGGCGUGAAAUUCCUGGGCUUAACCUGGGGACUGCGCUUAAUACAGGCAGUCUAGAGUGAGGAAGAGGGUUGUGGAAUUCCCAGUGUAGAGGUGAAAUUCGUAGAUAUUGGGAAGAACACCGGUGGCGAAGGCGGCAACCUGGUCCUUGACUGACGCAGAGGCGCGAAAGCGUGGGGAGCAAACAGGAUUAGAUACCCCAGUAGUCCCUGUCUCUUAUAC